UACAGAGGUCCCGAGCGUUUGUUCGGAUUCACUGGGCGUAAAGGGUGCGUAGGUGGCAGGGUAAGUUUGAUGUGAAAUCUCCGGGCUUAACCCGGAAACUGCAUUGAAUACUAUCCUGCUUGAGGGUUGGAGGGGGGACUGGAAUUCGUCGGUGUAGCAGUGAAAUGCGUAGAUAUCGAGAGGAACACCAGUGGCGAAGGCGAGUCCCUGGACAACACCUGACACUGAGGCACGAAAGCUAGGGGAGCAAACAGG
rnacentral:rRNA from 1 species